rnacentral:tmRNA from 1 species
GGGGAUGACGUCGCUUUGACGGUCGUUUUGUGAAGUGAUCGCAGGUCAAGUGGGCGGGACCCCUUGUCAACUCUUCCCGCAACUCAACAACUGCCAACAGCGUUGCUGAUCAGGUCAAGUCUUUCCUUGCUUCGGCAAUGAAGACGGAAGCCUUUGCUCCUGCUCUCGCCUAAGCGCGAUUUGUAGGACCGGUCCCCUGUCUCAUCCGUCUCCGUGAACAGGGCCCACCGUCAUCUUGUGAGACUUGAUCGCGAGUCCGUCUCCGGCUCGUGGUGACCACUUUGGAGGCUUGGCUCUUCUCCUGCUCGUCCGUUUGCCUACGAGAAGAGUAACCGUCCCGCGAUUACAUCAAAGGGCACUUCCAAGCGGACCAAACCUGUGGAUGACAUUGCUUCAUAAGCGUUCCGGACGGGGGUGCGAUUCCCCCCAUCUCCACCA